GGGGGCAUAGCUCAGUUGGGAGAGCAGUAGACUGAAGCUGGUUUUCUGUGGUUGACAUCACGAAAGUCGCAUUCUAAAGGUCCCGCGUUCGAUCCGCGGUGCCCCCA